rnacentral:rRNA from 1 species
CGCGACCCCAGGUCAGGCGGGGCUACCCGCUGAGUUUAAGCAUAUCAAUAAGCGGAGGAAAAGAAACUAACAAGGAUUCCCCUAGUAACGGCGAGCGAACCGGGG